rnacentral:tRNA from 1 species
GCCCGGUUGGAGGAACUGGCUUACUCGCGGCACUCAAAAUGCCGUGCCCUUUGGGCAUGUGGGUUCGAAUCCCACACCGGGCA